AGCGCAGGCGGACCGGCAAGUUGGAAGUGAAAACUAUGGGCUCAACCCAUAAAUUGCUUUCAAAACUGCUGGCCUUGGGUAGUGCAGAGGUAGGUGGAAUUCCCGGUGUAGCGGUGGAAUGCGUAGAUAUCGGGAGGAACACCAGUGGCGAAGGCGACCUACUGGGCACCAACUGACGCUGAGGCUCGAAAGCAUGGGUAGCAAACA
rnacentral:rRNA from 1 species